CCUACGGGCGGCAGCAGUGGGGAAUAUUGCACAAUGGGCGCAAGCCUGAUGCAGCCAUGCCGCGUGUGUGAAGAAGGCCUUCGGGUUGUAAAGCACUUUCAGCGGGGAGGAAGGCGGUGAGGUUAAUAACCUCAUCGAUUGACGUUACCCGCAGAAGAAGCACCGGCUAACUCCGUGCCAGCAGCCGCGGUAAUACGGAGGGUGCAAGCGUUAAUCGGAAUUACUGGGCGUAAAGCGCACGCAGGCGGUCUGUCAAGUCGGAUGUGAAAUCCCCGGGCUCAACCUGGGAACUGCAUUCGAAACUGGCAGGCUAGAGUCUUGUAGAGGGGGGUAGAAUUCCAGGUGUAGCGGUGAAAUGCGUAGAGAUCUGGAGGAAUACCGGUGGCGAAGGCGACUGCCUGGACCAGUACUGACACUGAGGCACGAAAGCGUGGGGAGCAAACAGGAUUAGAUACCCCGGUAGUC
rnacentral:rRNA from 1 species